rnacentral:lncRNA from 1 species
UUUCAAAACUUUUCUUAAUUAGAUUAAAAUUUAAAUGAUGACAUUAAAUGAUCCUAUUUGUGCAAAUCACCCUUAAAUUAAUUGCUCUAUAUUAUUUUAGAGUUAGAAGUCAGCAGAAGGGCCUGGUUGGGCCGGAAAGACAUGGCCCUGAUCAGUGACCAGGGCUGGUACUAGCCCAAAUCCCUAUUAGGUACGUGGAUCCAUACAACUUGGGAAGAACAGCUAUCUUAUUAUAUUAUAUUGAUGUUCAUGAUGUUUUCCUGAGCCGAUCUAUUUUUAUCGUAAUUUUUUUUAUCUGAAUACUAAUUCAUUCCUUUAUCAAUAUAUAAAGUUACGGAGCAAUGCGUGCAUCCAGAGGCAGAUCCAGGAUUUAGGGGUUACGGGUGCCGACCUAAUCGAUGUGAUCAACUCGAGCGUCGGUUCGGGGUAUAUAAACAAAUAGAUCAAACAAAAGAAAAUAUAAUAACUAUAACUAAUUGACGCAAAGCAUAAAACUUCCAACAAUA